UACAGAGGUCCCGAGCGUUACUGAGAAUCACUGGGUUUAAAGGGUGCGUAGGUGGUCCGUUAAGUCAGUUGUGAAAUCCCCGGGCUCAACCCGGGAAAUGCUUCUGAUACUGGCGGACUUGAGGCCAGUAGGGGUCACUAGAACUGACGGUGGAGCGGUGAAAUGCGUAGAUAUCGUCAGGAAUGCCGGUGGUGAAGACGGGUGACUGGGCUGGUUCUGACACUGAGGCACGAAAGCGUGGGGAGCGAACGGG
rnacentral:rRNA from 1 species